rnacentral:rRNA from 1 species
AAACCAGCACCUCAAGUGGUCAGGAUGAUUAUUGGGCCUAAAGCAUCCGUAGCCUGCUCUGUAAGUUUUCGGUUAAAUCUGUACGCUCAACGUACAGGCUGUCGGGAAUACUGCAGAGCUAGGGAGUGGGAGAGGUAGACGGUACUCGGGAGGAAGUGGUAAAAUGCUUUGAUCUCUCGAUGACCACCUGUGGCGAAGGCGGUCUACCAGAACACGUUCGACGGUGAGGGAUGAAAGCUGGGGGAGCAAACCGGAUUAGAAACCCCGGUAGUCC